rnacentral:rRNA from 1 species
UGCAGUCGACGGAAACGACAGGAGCUUGCUCCUGGGCGUCGAGUGGCGGACGGGUGAGUAAUGCAUAGGAAUCUGCCCAUGUAGUGGGGGACAACCUGGGGAAACUCAGGCUAAUACCGCAUGAGCCCUUCGGGGGAAAGCAGGGGAUCUUCGGACCUUGCGCUAUUGGAUGAGCCUAUGUCUGAUUAGCUUGUUGGUGGGGUAACGGCCUACCAAGGCGACGAUCAGUAGCUGGUCUGAGAGGACGAUCAGCCACACUGGGACUGAGACACGGCCCAGACUCCUACGGGAGGCAGCAGUGGGGAAUAUUGGACAAUGGGCGCAAGCCUGAUCCAGCCACGCCGCGUGUGUGAUGAAGGCCUUCGGGUCGUAAAGCACUGUGGGGAGAGACGAAACAGCGCGCCAGGAAAUGGGUGCGCCUUGACGGUACCUCCUUAGCAAGCACCGGCUAACUCUGUGCCAGCAGCCGCGGUAAUACG